GUAGAAUCGGUGCUGCUGCCCGACUACGUGGGUUGUAUUUCUAGUUUGUCCUCUCGAACAUUUUAUUUGUGGCCAAGGUGAAACAGGACCACCGAAUUCCUAACUGAAGCUUGUUCCCAGUGGCCUGGCAACACGACCAAUCCUCUGCGAUGGAGGACACCGUGCACUGCCGCUGUGUGCGCUGCGGGGACGGCAGCCCUGGCUUUGAGGCGCAUUUCUGGAGGUCUUUAGGUGUUGGUAACGCUGGUCUAGCCCGAUAUCAGUAAGGGACUGUGUAUUCACCUCAAGAACGCUGUCUGCAUCCUCCCUUUGGACUGUUCGCUGGUCUAGGU